GACGCUCGAAAACGGAUAUCUCGGCUCUCGCAUCGAUGAAGAACGUAGCGAAAUGUGAUACUUGGUGUGAAUUGCAGAAUCCCG
rnacentral:rRNA from 1 species